CCUGGCUCAGAUUGAACGCUGGCGGCAGGCCUAACACAUGCAAGUCGAACGGUAACAGCAGAGCUUGCUCUGGCUGACGAGUGGCGGACGGGUGAGUAACGCGUAGGAAUCUACCCAGUAGUGGGGGACCAGUAGUGGGGGACAACUUGGGGAAACUCAAGCUAAUACCGCAUACGCCCUACGGGGGAAAGCGGGGGACCUUCGGGCCUCGUGCUAUUGGAUGAGCCUGCGUCAGAUUAGCUAGUUGGUGAGGUAAAGGCUCACCAAGGCGACGAUCUCUAGCUGGUCUGAGAGGAUGAUCAGCCACACUGGAACUGAGAUACGGUCCAGACUCCUACGGGAGGCAGCAGUGGGGAAUAUUGCACAAUGGGCGCAAGCCUGAUGCAGCCAUGCCGCGUGUGUGAAGAAGGCUUUCGGGUUGUAAAGCACUUUCAGUUGGGAGGAAAAGUAGCAGUUUAAUACGCUGUUGCCCUGACGUUACCAACAGAAGAAGCACCGGUUAACUCCGUGCCAGCAGUUGCGGUAAUACGGAGGGUGCAAGCGUUAAUCGGAAUUACUGGGCGUAAAGCGCGCGUAGGUGGUUUGUUAAGCGAGAUGUGAAAGCCCCGGGCUCAACCUUGGAACUGCAUUUGAAACUGGUUAUCUUGAGUACUGUAGAGGAAGGUAGAAGUUCAGGCGUAGCGGUGAAAUGCAUAGAGAUCUGAAGGAAAGCCAAUGGCGAAGGCGGCCUUCUGGACAGAUACUGACACUCAGAUGCGAAAGCGUGGGUAGCAAACAGGAUUAGAUACCCUGGUAGUCCACGCUGUAAACGAUGUCUACUUGGAGGUUGUGGCCUUGAGCCGUGGCUUUCGGAGCUAACGCGUUAAGUAGACCGCCUGGUGAGUACGGUCGCAAGAUUAAAACUCAAAUGAAUUGACGGGGGCCCGCACAAGCGGUGGAGCAUGUGGUUUAAUUCGAUGCAACGCGAAGAACCUUACCAUCCCUUGACAUCCAGAGAAGCGACUAGAGAUAGACGUGUGCCUUCGGGAACUCUGUGACAGGUGCUGCAUGGCUGUCGUCAGCUCGUGUUGUGAAAUGUUGGGUUAAGUCCCGCAACGAGCGCAACCCCUAUCCUUAUUUGCCAGCGCGUUAUGGCGGAACUCUAAGGAGACUGCCGGUGAUAAACCGGAGGAAGGUGGGGACGACGUCAAGUCAUCAUGGCCCUUACGGGAUGGGCUACACACGUGCUACAAUGGCAGGUACAGAGGGCAGCAAUACCGCGAGGUGGAGCGCCUCCCACAAAGCUUGUCGUAGUCCGGAUUGGAGUCUGCAACUCGACUCCAUGCAGUCGGAAUCGUUAGUCAUCGUAGAUCAGCAUGCUACGGUGAAUACGUUCCCGGGCCUUGUACACACCGCCCGUCACACCAUGGGAGUGGGAUGCAAAAGAAGUGGCUAGUCUAACCUUCGGGAGGACGGUCACCACUUUGUGUUUCAUGACUGGGGUGAAGUCGAAACA
rnacentral:rRNA from 1 species